UAAGCGGAGGAAAAGAAAUUAACUAAGAUGGCCUCAGUAGCGGCGAGCGAAGCGGCCAGAGCCCAAGAUGGUAAUCUCCGUUUAACGGCGAAUUGUAAUCUUGAGAAGUCAAGCUCACCGGGUGGUGGCGCAGAAGUGCCCUGGAACGGGCCGCCAUAGAGGGUGACAGCCCCGUACGUGGUGCCGCCGCCUAACGAGCUGGCUUUCGAAGAGUCGGGUUGUUUGGUAUUGCAGCCCUAAGUGGGAGAUAAACUUCUUCUAAGGCUAAAUAUAUGUGGGAAACCGAUAGCGAACAAGUACUGUGAAGGAAAGAUGAAAAGCACUUUGGAAAGAGAGUUAAAAGACCUGAAACCGUUGAGGAGGAAGCGGUAGAGAUGAAUUCUUCGGCGAAGCACUGGGAAGUUGACCUAACUAUGCUGGAUUUGUCGUACGUCAAAGGCGGCGGUUUAGUUAUAGGGAAGUCAGCCACUUGUGCGGCGUCGUGAGGCCGGAUGGGGUGACGUGAUCACAGAGGCCUGUUAGACCUGGCUUGCUUCGGUGAGCAGUCUAGGAGUGCUGGUGGCUGCGUGGCCUGAGGAAGCUUUGUGCGAUCCGGUCAAAAUGGUCUUUACCGACCCGUCUUGAAACACGGACCAAGGAGUCUAAC
rnacentral:rRNA from 1 species